rnacentral:rRNA from 1 species
UACGAAGGGGGCUAGCGUUGUUCGGAAUUACUGGGCGUAAAGCGCGCGCAGGCGGUUUCUCAAGUCAGUGGUGAAAGCCCGGAGCUCAACUCCGGAACUGCCAUUGAAACUGUGAAACUUGAGGACGAGAGAGGUGAGUGGAAUUCCCAGCGUAGAGGUGAAAUUCGUAGAUAUUGGGAAGAACACCGGUGGCGAAGGCGGCUCACUGGCUCGUUUCUGACGCUCAGGCGCGACAGCGUGGGGAUCAAACAGG